GAUGAACGCUAGCUACAGGCCUAACACAUGCAAGUCGAGGGGCAGCGGGAAGGAAGCUUGCUUCUUCGCCGGCGACCGGCGCACGGGUGCGUAACGCGUAUCGAACCUACCCUUUACUCGGGAACAGCCUUGCGAAAGCAAGAUUAAUGCCCGAUGUUCCGCGUUUGCCGCAUGGCAAAUUCGGCAAAGAUUUAUUGGUAAAGGAUGGCGAUGCGUCCCAUUAGUUAGUUGGCGGGGUAACGGCCCACCAAACCUACGAUGGAUAGGGGUUCUGAGAGGAAGGUCCCCUACAUUGGAACUGAGACACGGUCCAAACUCCUACGGGAGGCAGCAGUGAGGAAUAUUGGUCAAUGGGCGAGAGCCUGAACCAGCCAAGUAGCGUGAAGGAUGACGGCCCUACGGGUUGUAAACUUCUUUUGUGCGGGAAUAAAGGAGCCUACGUGUAGGCUUUUGCAUGUACCGUAACGAAUAAGCAUCGGCUAACUCCGUG
rnacentral:rRNA from 1 species